GAUACUGUUCCUUCGUCAACUGUCACUCUUAUAACGUAGCCUUAAUACGUUACAACAGUUUCUUUUCAGCUUUUGGAGCAAUACCCUGUCGGCAGAUUUCGAAAGAUAAACACGUGGCGUUAGUUUCUUUUUAGCUUUUGGAGUAAUACCCGCUCGGGCAGACUUACACACGAGCUGAAACUUAGAAGGAUAUCAACAUACCGUACACGUCGUGCAGGCAAUUAUUUCAUUGUUGUACGCCGCAAAACUCGAAUUAUAAUCAUAAAAUUCCUAAACACCGUCAAUCAAAAAUCAUGAAAUUUUAUUCGUUAUUGGUCAUGUCAGUUAUUGCGGGAUUGGCGACAUCAGAUUGUGGAAAAUAUGAAUACUACCAAAGCGAUAUUUGUAUGGAGCACUGUAAUUUUCCGAUUUCGGCAAACGAUCGUUAUGUUUUAGGUAUAUGUGUAAUAUCGUCUAAAUAUAAAGUAAAGUAUGGAUCGUCUGGUUUUGUAUGGCAAAAUUGUUGGAAAUGUACAUCAGAUGUUUUACAUAAUGAUAAAUUUCGAUCAGGAGGUCAAUAUAGAAGCUCCUAAAAUUGUUUUAUUUUUUUGUUAAUAUUCUAUUACAUUCAAUUUAUGUAAAAAGCUAACAAUUAAAAAAGUCACAGGGUCUUAA